GAUGAACGCUGGCGGUCUGCUUAACACAUGCAAGUCGAACGCAACCUUCGGGUUGAGUGGCGGACGGGUGAGUAACGCGUGAGAAUCUGCCUUGGGGUCGGGGACAACCACUGGAAACGGUGGCUAAUACCGGAUAAGCCUUUGGGUAGAAAAUUUAUUGCCCCAAGAGGAGCUCGCGUCUGAUUAGCUAGUUGGUGAGGUAAAAGCUCACCAAGGCAGCGAUCAGUAGCUGGUCUGAGAGGACGAUCAGCCACACUGGGACUGAGACACGGACCAGACUCCUACGGGAGGCAGCAGUGGGGAAUUUUCCGCAAUGGGCGAAAGCCUGACGGAGCAAGAACGCGUGAGUGAGGAAGGCUCUUGGGUUGUAAACCUCUUUUCUCAGGGAAGAAGCUCUGACGGUACCUGAGGAAUCAGCCUCGGCUAACUCAGUGCCAGCAGCCGCGGUAAUACGGAGGAGGCAAGCG
rnacentral:rRNA from 1 species